rnacentral:lncRNA from 1 species
GAACUCCAAAAGAUGUCGAAAAAACUGAAGUGGCCGAUGAUGUGGGUGCAACUGUCAAUAGAAUUAACCCCAAGGAACAAGAAGAAGCGUUCACCACAAGGGGAUAAUUGAGUUAAGUCAUGUUCAGGGAAUAAUGCGUAAAUUAUAAUGUAACUUGUACAUUGGCAUGUCUUCUUUUAGUUUUUUUCCCAUUGGGGGAAGGAAGACUAAGAAAGAUAUGCCAUUUUGGUCAAU